rnacentral:misc_RNA from 1 species
AAGUCGUAACAAGGUUUCCGUAGGUGAACCUGCGGAAGGAUCAUUAUUAUUUGGGUCGGGUUUACUUCUUAACAAGAAAUAGACUUUUACCAAAUAAAAUAUAUUUUUACUCCUUUUAGGAGCAAGAUGAACUUAUAUUUAAAACCCACCUCUUUAAAUGUAUAUUUUUUAUUUUAAAUGAUAAUUAAAAGAUCACUUUCAACAACGGAUCUCUUGGCUCUC